rnacentral:lncRNA from 1 species
UUUUCUUUUCUUUUGAGAAAAGAAAAUUGUGACGAUUGAGUUCUUUGGAUUUAAUUUUAUCAUCAUGCAUGCAUGUCAUCAAUGUUUCCCCCUUUUUUUAAUUAAAAAUAAAAAAUAACAAAAAUUGAAUUAAAGACAACUAUGGAUAUAUACAAAUGGAAUAUGUAUAAAGAUAUGGACUUUUGAUGAUUAAUGAUCACUAUGUACUUAAAAAAAAUCCUAAUGAAAUAUCAGAAUUUCUGAUAAAAAGAUUUUUCAUCAGAUUUUCCGUUAUGUCAUCAGAAUUUCUGAUAAAUCAUCAUAUUUCACUGAUGAUUUAUUAGACCUUCUGAUUUUUCAUCAGAAUUUUGUUUAAUUGUCAUUUCAUUUUCAGUCUUUUGGUGAUCAUCAGUUUGGUUUUCGUUUUGUGUUGUUUUUAUUUCUGAAACAUUUUCAUCUCUUAAAUUAAUCAUGCCUAUUUUGCUGAUCAAAAAGUUAUGUCUCUUUUCAUCAAGAGGUUUUGUAAAUAUAUCAGCAAUUUGGUUUUCAGUUGGAACAAAAUACAUUUCAAUGUUACCUUUCUCCACAUGAUCUUUUAUGAAGUGAUAUCUGACAUCUAUGUGUUUGGUUCUUGAGUGAUGAACUGGAUUUUCUGUUAUUGCAAUUGCACUCUUUGAAUCACAUAAAAUUGGUACUUUUGUCGGAUUUACUCCAUAAUCCUUCAGUUGAGUUUGCAUCCAUAGCACUUGUGAACAGCAGCUUGCUGCUGCAACAUAUUCUAACUCUGCUGUUGAUGUGGCAACAGAGUUUUGCUUCUUGCUUGCCCAAUAUACCAAUUUUUCCCCCAAAAUUUGACAAGCACCAGAUGUGCUUUUUCUGUCAAUCUUACACCCUGCAUAAUCUGCAUCUGUGUAUGCAAUUAAUUCAAGGUUUGUAUCCUUUGGAUACCAGAGACCAAGUUCUGAAGUGCCUUUUAGAUAUUUGAAAACCCUCUUUACAGCUUUUAAGUGGGAUUCUUUAGGAUCACAUUGAUGUCUGGCCAGAAAGCAUGUAGCAAACAUGAUGUCUGGCCUACUUGCAGUCAAAUAUAGCAAUGACCCUAUCAUCCCCUAUAGGUUUUAAUAUCUAUACUUAUUCCAUCUUUAUCAGAAUCUAUUUUGUUCCCUGUUGCCAUGGGAGUUUUUUGAAACAGAGCAGUUUUCAAGUGAAUAUUUUUGUAGAAUUGUUUUAACAUACUUUGAUUGACUCAAAAAUAUUCCAUCAAUUCUUUGUUUGACUUGUAACCCUAAGAAAAAGGUUAAUUCACCCAUCAUGCUCAUUUCAAAGUGGCUGGUCAUUAACUUUUGAAACUUUUUGCAAAAUUUUUCAUUUGUUGAUCCAAAUAUAAUGUCAUCAACAUAUAUUUGAACCAACAAGGUAUGACCUUUGUGUGUUUUGAGAAAAAGUGUGGUGUCAAUAGUACCUUUGGUAAAUCCAGAAUUGAUUAAGAAGUUUGAUAAUGUUUCAUACCAUGCUCUAGGAGCUUGCUUCAAUCCAUACAAAGCUUUGUUUAAUCUAUAAACAUGAUUUUGAAAUUUUGGAUCAACAAAGCCUUCUGGUUGUUGCACAUAAACUUCUUCUUCAAUUUUACAAUUUAGAAAAGCUGAUUUCCCAUCCAUUUGAUAAACUUUGAAAUCCUUGGAUGCAGCAUAAGCAAGAAAAAUUCUUACAGCUUCUAAUCUAGCUACUGAUGCAAAAGUUUCAUCAUAAAAAAUACCUUCUUGUUUGUAACACCCCGUGUUUUUGAAUGUCAAAGUCAAAGUCAAAGUCCAAGUCAACUUUGACUUUCUUUGACUGUAGAUAGUCUAUUUUAUGUUUUAGUUGUAUUAUGUGGAGUAAGUGUUGUAAUCAGCAAGAAUCGAAGCAAUCGAAUGUUUGAACGCGAACCAAUCUACGACUGUGAAUGAUAGGAAGUAACAAUGCGAUAAAUUUAACUAAUCAGUAAUCAAACCGAUCUAACAAUCAAUCGAACUCGAGACUCGAAUUAUGCGAAUUGUGGUAUUGUUAUACGUGUGUGUGUGUGCCUUAUGUGUUACUUGUGCAUGUUUACUUUAUGUUUGGUGUGGUAUUCAAGCAAAUCAAUCGAAAAUCGAAUCGAACUCGAAAGGCAAUCGAACUCAAUCGAAACCGACAUCGAAACGUGAAAUGUAGAUGCUUGUAUAUAGAUAUAGUCCCAACUACUGAAAAUAAUUUGACUAGGAACCCUAUCGUAUUUGUAUCAUCGUUCAUCGAAAUCGAAACGUCGAAAAUCGUCGCAAAAUACUCAAAGUGUGUCGCGGAUCGAACAGGAGGCAUCCUGAUCGAACAGGCCAGCCGAUCGGCUAGCAUCUUGCCAGCCGAUCGAGCAGCCCAUUCGAUCGGAGCUCCUGGCCGAUCGGCUGCCACUUUCCCUUUUUUGGAAGCCUAUAAAUAGGGUUGUCCUUGUCUUCAUUUCCACUUUUGGAAAGUUCUGACCGGCCAGCUCCUAUUCUUCACCUUUUCUCAGAUUUCUCUAAACUCCGGUAAGUUUUCACUCUAAAUCUUGUAUGUUUUUUUAUUAUUACUUGAUUCUACACCUUUCUAUCUUUCAAAACUUGGAUUCUAACCGUGAAAUCACCAAGAUCUAAGUGUUCUUGGAUGAUGUCAUCAUGGUGUUCUUGAAGAACAUCCAACUUUGGCCUCAUUCAACCAUGAAUAGCUUAGAUCUAACCGAUUUCCACAUAAACAAGUUAAGAUCUAUCAAAGAUCUAAACAUCCACAAGCUGUGAAGGAUUGAAAGGAGGAAUCCCAACUUUCUUUCAACUCUUUUACACUCAACGCCUUCAAACCGGUAGAAACGGAGCCUGAACCAACCCACCGAUCAUUCCAAUGGCUGGAUGGUUCAAGAUUCAGAUUCUAUUUACAAGGUUCACCGACAAUGGGCUAAACUCCAAACCGACGUUCCGAACCGCUCAACGGACGGACUUGGGUGAUUCAUGUCCGAGCCAAAGAAACAAGUAGGAACGGAGGUUAUCAUAGUUCAACUUGUUGUCAAGGUACCUUGAAAGAAUGACAAGUAACCAAACAGCCAAGUGUUAGACGAAAGGCCGACCAGGUCAGAGAUGCUGGCCGAACGGCUAGGCUGUUCGAACAGCCCAGCCGAUCGGACAUACCAGCCGAUCGACCGGGCCAGCCGAUCGGCUAGCACAUGGUCCCACACUUUAAAAUUUCAUGAAGCAUAGUAUUGAGGAAGAGAUGUUCGAUCGAAGUGUGUUUGGUAAACAUUACUCUUCGGAUCAUGAGAUACUACUCUUCAACACUUCAUCGUUUUUCACAACUCGUUCGUAGUAGGGAAUGCCAGCCGAUCGAACAGACUGUUCGAUCGAGUGACAUUCAGUUGAGGACUAAUUCUGAAGUUCCUAGCCGAUCGAGUGAGCUAGCCGAUCGAGUGAGCUAGCCGAUCGAGCGAACCGCUCGAUCGAUCGACUUGAAAGGUAGGAACACUUCAGUGUUCUCAAAUGCUGUAACGAAAACUUCAAAAGUUCAAAUCCUCAAACACAAACACACCAGAGGAAGAAACAAUCCACUCGAAUGGCCCAGCCGAUCGAGCCAACCGGCCGAUCGAACAGGACUGUUCACGGACCUACCAGCCGAUCGAACAGCCCGUUCGAUCGAACCUGCCGAUUCGAUCGACCAGCCUAUUCGAUCCAUUCACACCUGUUUGCAUUUCCACGUUACUUAUCGUUAUGCUAUCAAACUAUUCAGGCUAACCCUACUCUCAGCGCUCCCUUCAAUCCAUAACCAAUCACUGUGAGUAUACUCGAUCCCUUUUUACUUUUAGCACUUUUGGGUGUUACAUACGUUGCCUAUCAAAUCACAAACAAACACAAACUAUUUGAACGCUGACCACUUGCAUGUGCUACUUGACUAAAUGAAUGAUGUUUAUUAUGUUUACACGUGGAAUGCUAUCUACCUGCCUUAGCAACAUAGUACUAUAGUUUGGACUCAGCACCCGUUCACACGGGGGUUGUUAAGGACAAUUACUUGCAUGGAUUACCGUGGUAAUCAUGUAUUGCGAGCUGUCUCGGACGGUCAACCCGCAGUCGUUGGUAUCGAUGCUCCCAUGUCGAUAAUUUACAUGCAUCAUUUCCCUCUGUGUGCUUAAGUUGCUAGGAUGCUUAGGCGCGUGGUGAUGAAAUCGAGGCUAGGGAGUUUACAAAUAAUAAACAAUUGUCUGUAAUAAUAAUUGAAUCUGAGUUGUCGGAACGGAAUUAUUUGCCUAAUUGCUUUCUAUGAUAACUUGUUAUUUAUUUGGGACACGGUAUGGGACGUGUCAUUUA